CUUUCUCUCCCCUUUCCUGGAGAGGAACUGUUCAGGUGGGGGAGAAUAUGAUAUAAAUUUCUUUAAAAACAGCAGAACCACCCCCCUUUGGCCCCGCGCAGCCGUCGCCUCGGCCCUUUAGGGCCGCUUUACGC
rnacentral:lncRNA from 1 species